rnacentral:rRNA from 1 species
GACGAACGCUGGCGGCGUGCUUAACACAUGCAAGUCGAACGGAAAGGCCCUGCUUGCAGGGUACUCGAGUGGCGAACGGGUGAGUAACACGUGGGUGAUCUGCCCUGCACUUCGGGAUAAGCUUGGGAAACUGGGUCUAAUACCGGAUAGGACCGCACUUUAGUGUGUGUGGUGGAAAGUUUUUUCGGUGUAGGAUGAGCUCGCGGCCUAUCAGCUUGUUGGUGGGGUAAUGGCCUACCAAGGCGGCGACGGGUAGCCGGCCUGAGAGGGUGUACGGCCACAUUGGGACUGAGAUACGGCCCAGACUCCUACGGGAGGCAGCAGUGGGGAAUAUUGCACAAUGGGCGCAAGCCUGAUGCAGCGACGCCGCGUGGGGGAUGAAGGCCUUCGGGUUGUAAACUCCUUUCGCUAGGGACGAAGCUUUUUGUGACGGGACCUAGAUAAGAAGCACCGGCGAACUACGU